GAUGAAUGCUAAAGACUGGAAGACAUGAGAACUGAAAACCAUAAUGUCUUGAAGAUAACAGUAGGGA
rfam:Nematostella vectensis strain CH2 x CH6 NEMVEscaffold_465_Cont27994, whole genome shotgun sequence.